rnacentral:misc_RNA from 1 species
GGUCCCGGACUCUUUCUUUCUUGCUUUCUUCCUGGUUUUUUUUCUUGAUUUCAGUGUUUCGCAGAGGUUAAAGAUUGAGAAAAGCUAAGACCCAAGAAGGCUAAGGUACUUUAUUGAUAGCUCAGAUGGUGUUAAUUUGAGUUGAGACUUGUUCUGUUUGUACCUGUGCCCUUUUCUUUUCUUGUGUGAUUCUUUUGUCUUUAAGCUGCUGCCAAUGCUAAUAGACAUAAAUCAACGAAGAUUCUGAGCACAAGCAAAGCUGUUUUCCUUCUCUUGCACAUUAAAACAAAUAAUUUAAGUGCAUUCUUAUUUACAUGUAUUGGGUAUUGGUUUAGAGUUGUAUUCUAAUUUUUGUUCUAUGAAUUGUUCUUUGUUAAGGCUUGAUCUAUUUGACUUUAGUUUACAUUGAAAUAUAGCAAUUUAGUUGGUUUUUUGCAGCCUUUUUUUGGGUUGGAUUUACUUUGAAGGAAAAGCUGAUCUUUCUUGGGUAUUUUUUCUAUUGAAGAACAACCAAGCAACUUUGAAGUUUAAGCAAAGGUUAGAGGUCUGGCGCUCAAGCAAAUCAAAGCAAUGUUCACAUUUGGAAUUGCUUAAAGCAGCUCAGGGUCCCUCAAGACAAGAAGACAUGAGUCUUUUGUAUAGUCCUAGUUUCAACUACCAAGAUGGAGAAUUGAGAAGGACUCAAGAACAUAUGGAUUUGAAUCACCAUCAUUACCAUCAGGAACAACACCAGCAUAAUUCUGGCUUAAUGCGGUAUCGCUCAGCGCCAAGCUCAUUUCUUGACAGUCUUGUUAAUGGCACCAGUGGUCAUGGGGGUGAUGGUGGUGGCAUUGAAGGUGAAAAUUACCGCUAUUUUCGAUCUUCGAGCCCUGAGAUGGAUACCAUGUUGGCAAGAUAUAUGUCAACAUUAAGUGGUUCAGAGGAUUCCAAUUCUCGGAAUUUGCAAGAAUUUGAAGAAAAACCAGCAAUGAAGCGAGAAAUGGAAGAUUCACAAAUGGUUUAUCAAAGCUUACCAGUGAAUGAUUUGACUAAUAAUGGAAAUUCUCUGAAUGUUAGCAAUUCUCUGGAUAACACUUAUGGUGUCAUGAACUCAAUGGCUUUGAAGAAUUCUAUGCAGGCAUCAAAGAUGAGUACAGUGAAUGGAUCCAAUCUUGUUAGGCAAAACAGCUCUCCAGCUGUAUUUUUCUCCAACCUAGGCGUUGACAACGAUACAGGCAGUUUUCGAGCUUGCAAUGGCUUGAAUGGAGACGCUAGCCUGUCAACUAGUAGGUUAAACAAUCAUCUAAGCUUCCCAUCAGGGCAGAGGUUUUUGCCUCGGAUUGCUGAAAUUGGAGAUGAAAACCCUGGUGCAAGUGGUACUGAAGGCAAUACUGGCAAGAGACAGUACAUGAAUUUUGCAAAUGACUCAUGGGAUGAUUCUUCAUCAAACGACUUUAAACGGUUAAGAAGUAAUGAUGGGAAUGUGUUUUCUGGCUUUAACAUGUUGGACAAUCAGAAUGGGAAUUCUGGAAACCGCAUGACUGGUUUGACUCACCACCUGAGCUUGCCUAAGACAGCUUCAGAGAUGGCUACUAUAGAGAAGUUUCUGCAAUUUCAAGGUUCUAUUCCCUGCAAGAUUCGAGCGAAAAGGGGCUUUGCUACUCACCCUCGAAGCAUCGCAGAGAGGGUAAGAAGAACACGAAUUAGUGAAAGAAUGAGAAAACUGCAAGAUCUUUUCCCAAACAUGGACAAGGUAAUUCAAACUUCAUGGUCUAGAUUAAUUUUUCAUUCUCAAAUUGUGACUCAAACUUGGUGAUUAUUAGUUGCUAAGUAUUUUUAAUAUCUUUCUUCUUGGCAGCAAACUAGCACAGCUGAUAAGUUAGAUUUAGCAGUUGAGUACAUUAAAGAACUUCAAAAACAGGUCGAGGUAAUAUAUAAAAGAUACCAAUCAUGAAUCAAUGGGUCACAUGAUCUUUCAAGUUUCAACUACAUUUACCUUCUCUUACCUAUCUUUCUUCUUUCUUUUGCAGACCCUCAGAGAUGCUAGAGCAAAGUGCAUGUGUUCUAGUAAACAGAAACAGUAUUCAAAUUCUUCUGCUUGAUUUGUUUCUGUACGUAUAGCAGCUAGGAAAAUGGGAAAGACUGAGAAGAGUAACUAGCUACUUAAUUUUUGAUGUAAUGUAGAAGAAUAGGAGAUUGUGAUGCUGCAUUGUUCACUUUAACCCGUCUUAUCGAUGAAUCUCUUUCUAAAAAAAAAAUUAAAUCAGAUCCUCCUGUACUGUAGGAUUCUUCAAGAAGGUAGGUUGCUUAGCAAAUAUUUAUGUUGUAAUUUCUUGGAUGUAAAUGUCAGUUGUGUUUUGUAACCUUUAAAUGUUCUAGUUGUGAAUUGAUCCAACAAUCUGAUAAGGGGAUAAAACUUGAAGAUAUAGAAUUGGGAUCUUGCAUGAGCUGUGUUCAUGAAAUUGUCAUAUUAUUU